UACAGAGGGUGCGAGCGUUUAAUCGGAAUUACUGGGCGUAAAGAGCUCGUAGGUGGUUUGUCGCGUUGUUCGUGAAAACUCACAACUCAAUUGUGGGCGUGCGGGCGAUACGGGCAGACUGGAGUACUGCAGGGGGAGACUGGAAUUCCUGGUGUAGCGGUGGAAUGCGCCAGAUAUCAGGAGGAACACCGGUGGCGAAGGCGGGUCUCUGGGCAGUAACUGACGCUGAGGAGCGAAAGCGUGGGGAGCGAACAGG
rnacentral:rRNA from 1 species